GGUCCCUUAGCUCAGCUGGAUAGAGCGUUUGGCUACGGACCAAAAGGUCGGGGGUUCGAAUCCCUCAGGGUCCGCCA
rnacentral:tRNA from 1 species